CCGGGCAGGCGGCAACGCGCAUGGAGGCGGCGGCCCCGGCCCCGGGCGGCGGUCCCGGUACCCUGCUGCUGUGCCUGGCCCUCGCCUCCGGUUUGGCUUUUUUCACCGGCGUGGGGGCCGAUGCCAAUGUCACCGAGGGGCUCUCCUGCAGCACGGCCGAGGGCUGCACGGGCAACGUGACACGGCUGAGGCGACAGGGACACUUCUCCAGGUGCCCCGAGGAGUACAAACACUACUGCGUCAAAGGGAGAUGCCGGUUCCUGGUGGCUGAGAAAGCACCAGCCUGCGUGUGCGAGCGGGGCUACACGGGGGCUCGCUGUGAAAGCGUGGACAUCUUCUACCUGCGAGGUGACCGGGGACAGAUCGUCAUCAUCUCCUUGAUCGCCGCCAUCGUCACCCUCAUCAUCCUCAUCAUCUGCGCCUGCAUCUGCAGUCACCACUGCCGGAAGCAGCGGAGGAAGAGGAAGGCAGAAGAGAUGGAGACGUUAAACAAGGAUUCGCCUUCCAAAACCGAGGGCGUGCUGGAGACGGGCAUCGCGUGAAGGUGCUGAGCCCGGGGGUGACAGCAGCCCCUGUGAGGUGACAGCAGCCCCAGGAGCUCCAGGUACCUGCGGGCAGGUCCCAGGCGGCGGCACCGGCUGGCUCCAGGGUUGGGGAAUAAACAGUGACAACGGCUUCAAUAAAGGGGUGACGGAAACGGU